CCCCCCCCCGAGGAUGCGGUGCCUCUGCCCCAUAUGAACGGUCACGCCGUGGAACUCCCGUGGAUGACCCCAAAGGGCCUGUGCCUCUGGCGCGGUGCCCACACGAGCGCCAUUUACCGGAUACCAUCGUUUGAUCCUUGGGAUAAGUGGCAAGUAAUGAAAAGACUUCCGUGCCUUUCUGUUCUCAUCACGUCUCUGUUCAGCACAUUUUGGGCAGUUGUCCAUAUCGGUGUAUGCAUUAAAUCAAAUACAAAACAAAAACACAGUCGAUUAUCUUAUCAGGUGUCAUGGAAUACUGAACCUUCAAGUGAUUGAAAGGGUGAAAUCCAUCUGCACAUAUUGUUAGUGACAAACAGCGUUUGUCUCCAUUAAAAGGACCGUCCAGUGAGUACAAGUCCUUCCACUUCUGUGAUUUGAAAAAGGAAAUGUCAAACUGGUCCUCGUGUGCCCUGAGAGAUGUGGCUAAUGCAGGAGACUACAGGGACAGGAAUGGGGGGGGGGGGGAAAGAAUGAAAUAUAGGGCUGAUUGAUAUCUUCACCCACAUAGAUGUGACAAUACAAUAUCUUUGCUUACCUUUGACGACAUCAACCUUGACUUUGUCCAGCCACACACCCUUGUCCUUUGGGCGCAGUCCCGAGCCUUGGACGCUGACCAGCUCCUCCUUGGAAAACACGAGGUCUAUCACCCGAUUGAGGAGGGUCAGUGCAUUGCUUGAAGUGGCAGUAUGGGCUCUCCUUUCGGCCUGGGACAAUUUGACUUGAUCGACCAGAAUAUUGAGGUACAGUUCGGGAUUACUAGGGUCCCGAGCCAGUUGAAUCUGUUUGAUACAGAGCAGCACAAAAUGUAACGGCCUCGUCACAUAUAAGAUACAAUGUAUACACAUUACACACAUUAUCAUAAUUGACAAAAACAAUGGAAGUGGCAAGAUAUACAUCACAUUCAUGAGCAAUGUAUCAUACGGAACAUCAUAUUUAUUGUAAGGUAUAAGGUAUGUACACAAUAUGACAGAGGAGCUAGGGGCAAAGUGACUAUAAUUGUUUAAAAAAACACUCUCUCAUUCUUUGAAUCAAACAAUAGCCUUGCUUUAUUAUUGGGCAUCACCAGAGCAGGAACGAUGCCAAGCUUGGCUCUCAAGUGGUCGAGGAGCCUUUUCUCAUGAUCUUUGAAUACGUCCUUCACAUCAGACAUCAGUUCCCAAAUCUGCAGACUGGCCAUCUCCAAUGUUACUAUUUUUUUGAAGAAUGAUCCCAUAUUGAUGUCUGCAUGAGUUGCAUCUAUCAAACGGAUAAAUUCCGCCCAUUGGUCCGGGGUCAGCCCUGCCACAAAACACUCCAGUAUUCGCCGCUGAAUCAACAGGGACGGAGUACUAGGGGGGAGCAGGGGGAAAUAAAUGCUGUAUCUACGUGCUAGUACCUUAUUUGCCGUGCACGUCAAAAAUCAUAAUUAUACAGCACCCUGACACUGUCGUUUUCUGAAGCUCUAAUCACACUUAAUACAAAAACUGAAAGGCCUCAAUUAGUGUUGUUUAUACUUAGCCAGAAUUCAACGCUUUUUGGGUUUACAAAUUUCUGUGAACAACUUGCCCUUCAAGGUCAUACAUACAUGUACAUACAUACAUAUAAAUAUUUAUAUAGCGUCUUUACACAAACAUGCUCAAAGCGCUUUACAUUGUAAAAUAAAAACAUAAUAUUUAUAUGCUCUCCAAGUGCAUUACACUCUAAAAAUAACAAUUAUAAAGAAAUCAAAUGAGUUUUUAGAUUUCUCUUAAAUGAUGCUAUGUUAGUCCUGAAUUUUUGUUGAGUAUGGGAGAUUGAUCUGACUCGUAAGCUUUUUGGUGCCAGUUAAAAAAGCAUUUUGACCUUGUGCAAGGACAUAGCAGAACUCAUUCCAAUAGAAACAUGAGCAGACUGUGUAUCGCCUGUUUCAUCCUCAGCAAACUUGUUGUAAUUUGGCAGUAUUGGUAACUGGAGAUGCAUGAUACAAGUAUUUGCAAUUGGAAACUCUUUUGAGGCACUAUUGCGUUCUGCCACACUGGCAGAGUGGCGGAAAGAUAUCCUUGGUUGCAGAAACAUAAGCGGACUUUGUAUCGCCUGUUUCAUCCUCUCAGCAAACUGUUGUAAUUUGGCAGUAUUGGUAACUGGAGAUGGAUGAUACAAGUAUUGGCAAUAGGGAACUCUGUUGUUGCCCUAUUUUCUUCUGCCACACUGGUCGGAUGUCGGAAAGUUAUCCUUGGUUGCUCCGGGAACGUAAUAAAAAGCAGAUAUGGUAAUGGUUUGAAAAUUUGACUCUGCAGCCAGUACCUACUGUUAGCCAUAUGAUAUUAAUGAACAUCUAGACCAAAAGUUUUGCCCGCUUGAAAAGUUUUCUUUCGGUCUCAUCAUUAUAGCAUUUACCUGAUACGAUCGUUGGAUCCUUGGGAUAAGUGGCAAGUAAUGGAAAGACUUCCGUGCCUUUCCGUUCUCAUCACGUCUCUGCUCUCCACAUUUGUGGCAGUUGUCCAUAUCAGAAGUCUGGCCUAGGUGUGUCCAUUAAAUCAAAUACGAAACAAAAACACAUUUGAUUAUCUUAUCAGGUGUCAUGGAAUACUGAACCUUCAAGUGAUUGAAAGGGUCAAAUCCAUUGGCACAGAUUGUCAGUGACAAACAACGUUUGUCACCAUUAAGCGGACCGUCCACCGCAUACAAAUCCAUCCACUUCUGUGAUUUGAAAAAGGAAAUUUCAAACUCGUCCUCGUGUGCCAUGGUGUCAUGGAAUAGUAAACCUUUAAGUGAUUAAAAGGGUCAAAUCCAUCGGCACAGAUUGUCAGUGACAAACAACGUUUGUCACCAUUAAACGGACCGUCCACCGCAUACAAAUCCAUCCACUUCUGUGAUUUGAAAAAGGAAAUUUCAAACUCGUCCUCGUGUGCCAUGGUGUCAUGGAAUAGUAAACCUUUAAGUGAUUAAAAGGGUCAAAUCCAUCGGCACAGAUUGUCAGUGACAAACAACGUUUGUCACCAUUAAACGGACCGUCCACCGCAUACAAAUCCAUCCACUUCUGUGAUUUGAAAAAGGAAAUGUCAAACUGGUCCUCGUUUGCCCUGAGCGAUGUGGCUAAUGCAUACAUACAUACACAUUUAUAUAGCACCUUUACACAAACAUGCUUAAAGCGCUUUACAUUUUAAAAUAAAAACAUAAUAUUUAUAUGCUCUCCAAGUGCAUUACACUCAUUACAAAGAGCAUUACAAAUAACAAUUACAAAGAAAACAAAUGUGUUUUUAGAUUUCUCUUAAAUGAUGCGACGUUAGUCCUGAAUUUUUGUCGAGUAUGGGAGAUUGAUCUGGCUCGUAAGCUUUUUGGUAUCAGUUAAGAUAGCAUUUUGACCUUGUGCAAGGACAUAGCAGAACUCAUUCCAAUAGAAACAUGAGCGGACUUUGUAUCGCCUGUUUCAUCCUCUCAGCAAAUAUGUUAUAAUUUGACAGUAUUGGCAACUGCAAAUGAAUGCUACAAGUAUUUGCAAUAGGGAACUCUGUUGUUACCCUAUUUUCUUCUGCCACUGGUCGGAUGGUGGAAAGUUACCUUUCGUUGCUCUGGGAAGGUAAUAAACAGCAGAUUUUUGCUUUGCUAUGCUGUGGCAAUAACUUGCCAGGGUCCCCUCAGCCUCUAUGUCAACUUGUUCUUAUAAUAGAAAUAUAUAUUAUCUACUCCCAAGUAUUCAUGAAUUUCAACAAUGAUGCAGUCCAGAGUAUAACAAAAAUAAUAAUAUGAAUGAUAAUACUUAGGAGCCCUGUCAUUUUCAUUUGUACAUUAUUUCCAUCUUCAUAUAUAAACAAUAGAUCAUUAAUAUUAUACAUUAUAAUUUUUUUUACAUACAAUCAUUCAUGUUAACAGUAUCAAAGACACCAAAUUUACCAGUCGCAAAUGAGAAAAGGGGAACUAAAAUACAGCCAAAGGGCCUUGUAAAAUAACAUUUGCCCUAUACCUCUCUGCCGUGUAGUCCUCAUCACGCACAUCAUCUACUUCUUCACUCCCAAUCUCUACAUUACUGCUCUGUGCCUCUUUCUCCUUGGUUCUAUUCCAGGUUUCGGCAUAGACUGAAAUUGUGGCUGAAAGGCUAGGUCAUCUACUGUGAAAUUCUCAGUAUCCGGAAAAAACUGGCCUAAAGAUUCCAAAUCAGCUUCUUCUGCAGGAAGACUUACUUGCUUUACUUGCUUUUCUCCAAUGUGAUUUAAAAUUCUUAAAUAAGAAUUUUGACUGCUAUGUCAAUUUGAAAUUCUUAAACUAAAUUUUGACUGUUCGUCACAUUUUCCUAAUUUGGUUCUUGUUUUGGAGUACUUGUCAGAAGCAGGCUCCCUUCCAGUAUGCUCCCUUCUUUGUUAUCAGAUGAAUCCAGGUCAUUACAUGUAGGAGUGCCUGUCACUGUCACAUUUUCACUUGCGUCUUGGGAAUUGUCAUCAAACAUGCUUCUGGCAUCCCAACUGGCUCUUGAGGUAUCCAAUUCAGUCUGGGUAACAGCCAUCCUUUCUCGCAUCUCAUGUAACUCCUUUUUGAGGGCGUGGCUUAGCCAGUUCUUUGUUUUUUUGCACAACACUAUUUUUGUCCAUUGUCUGCUCUUCAUCAACUGCUUUAAGCAUUUUUUUUUCGAUUUCCCCUACUACAUUCAUUAUGUAAGAGAUUCCAGUGUCCACAUUGUACUGCUUGUAUCGCAUGCGUGUGCAGAUACCAACUAGUUGUAACAGACGACUUUGAAUGCUUUCUUUUGCCUUCAGUGUUCCCUUGUGGGCAUCCAUCCUGAACAUAUGAAAACAAAAUUGAAUUAAAUAAAUUUUUAAGUGUAUACAUGUGUAGCUAAUAAUGGUGUGGUUCGCAUGAUAUUCAUUGAUAUCAUACUUAGUCAUUAAAUCGUCUUCACUCCACACUUGUCCUUCCUGCCCAGUACAUUGAAAUGUGACCAGAGAGAGUUUGAGCCAAGUUUCUUCAUAACUCUCUUUGCCGUUUGAUUCACAGAGAGUUUGAGCUGAGGUUCUUCAUAACUCUCCUUGUCGUUUGAUUCACUGGCUGGUAGUGAAGAUAUGCUGGUUUGUUGGGUAGCACAGAUUCUUGGAUGAUAUAUUCCGGAUUACCUGGGCACACAUCCCAUGUUGUUAUGUCAUUUAUCAGCCGAGGAAGAAGUUCAACAGUUAUCCUCUCUGGCCAGGCUUUGAGAGGGCUAGAUAUAUAUCAUCAUCAUAUUUAUCAUCUAUUCAAUUCAAGGUUUAACAAAAUAUAUCUUUGCAGCCGUUGAUGGCUGAAUUGCAAUACAGUUCACAGAUAAAAACAUGCAAAAUUACAAAAUAAAGAUAUCAAUUACAAUGAACAUAGAUAAUAAUUUAAAACGAAAUAAAAAUUGAAGAACAGAAUUACGGUUUAGAUUCUAGUUAAAAUAAUUUGAUAUAAAUUCAUAGUAAUAUAUGUUGAGAGUAUAGUAAUCACUUGGCUUUAAAAUAUAAGCAGAAUAUAGAGUCAUCUCCUCAGGUAAUAUACAGAUUCUUUGAAAGAAUGAGUUUGCAUAUUCUUCGGCAUAAAUCAAACUUACUAUUUUCUCUGAGUGUCUGAAGAUCCAUGGUUCCCUCGCCAGAUUCACCCUAGAGAAACUCCUGAGGAAAGGUUUGAUGAAGCUAGUUGUGAAGCACAGCUCUUAGCUGAUCUACACUCGUAACCCAAAGGGUGCAGAGGCAUAGACCUGGAUGUGAAAUGACACAAGAUCUCUUUCUGCUAGUGUACAAAGUGUUGCGAUGAUACCUCUCUGGUGAUGUAAAUUAAAGAUCCGUACAGAGG
rnacentral:lncRNA from 1 species